rnacentral:misc_RNA from 1 species
UUGAUUCAUUUGUUUAAUGAUUCCACUCAGACAUGCCAAAAGGUACGAAAUACAGAGAGUUUGUGGUCCCCCGGCGGGCGCCUGGUUCCGGGACGGCCCGCCCCCGAGGGAGCGUGGCCUGGUGCCCGGGGCGAAGACCCGCCGAAGCAACGGUGUAAAGGUAUAAGUUCACAGGGGGUUUGGGAGUUGUAAACUCGGUAAUGAUCCCUCCGCUGGUUCACCAACGGAGA